ACAGAGGUCUCAAGCGUUGUUCGGAAUUACUGGGCGUAAAGCGCGCGUAGGCGGUUUUGCAAGCCAGAGGUGAAAUGCCUGAGCUCAACUUAGGAAUUGCCUUUGGGACUGCGAGGCUUUGAGGACUGGAGAGGUGAGUGGAAUUCCCAGUGUAGAGGUGAAAUUCGUAGAUAUUGGGAAGAACACCGGUGGCGAAGGCGGCUCACCGGCCAGUUUCUGACGCUGCAGCGCGAAAGCGUGGGGAUCAAACAGGA
rnacentral:rRNA from 1 species